AUUGAACGCUGGCGGCAGGCCUAACACAUGCAAGUCGAGCGGAUGAAGGGAGCUUGCUCCUGGAUUCAGCGGCGGACGGGUGAGUAAUGCCUAGGAAUCUGCCUGGUAGUGGGGGAUAACGUCCGGAAACGGGCGCUAAUACCGCAUACGUCCUGAGGGAGAAAGUGGGGGAUCUUCGGACCUCACGCUAUCAGAUGAGCCUAGGUCGGAUUAGCUAGUUGGUGGGGUAAAGGCCUACCAAGGCGACGAUCCGUAACUGGUCUGAGAGGAUGAUCAGUCACACUGGAACUGAGACACGGUCCAGACUCCUACGGGAGGCAUCAGUGGGGAAUAUUGGACAAUGGGCGAAAGCCUGAUCCAGCCAUACCGCGUGUGUGAAGAAGGUCUUCGGAUUGUAAAGCACUUUAAGUUGGGAGGAAGGGCAGUAAGUUAAUACCUUGCUGUUUUGACGUUACCAACAGAAUAAGCACCGGCUAACUUCGUG
rnacentral:rRNA from 1 species